rnacentral:rRNA from 1 species
AAUGCACAGUCGCGAGCGGAGUUUUGUUGGUGCUUGCACCGACUUAACGUUAGCGGCGGACGGGUGAGUAACACGUGGGCAACCUGCCCUGUAGUCUGGGAUAACUCCGGGAAACCGGGGCUAAUACCGGAUGAUACUUUUUGAUUCAUGUCAGAAAGUUGAAAGAUGGUUUACGCUAUCGCUACAGGAUGGGCCCGCGGCGCAUUAGCUAGUUGGUGAGGUAACGGCUCACCAAGGCGACGAUGCGUAGCCGACCUGAGAGGGUGAUCGGCCACACUGGGACUGAGACACGGCCCAAACUCCUACGGGAGGCAGCAGUAGGGAAUCUUCCACAAUGGACGAAAGUCUGAUGGAGCAACGCCGCGUGAGUGAAGAAGGAUUUCGGUUCGUAAAACUCUGUUGUAAGGGAAGAACAAGUACAGUAGUAACUGGCUGUACCUUGACGGUACCUUAUUAGAAAGCCACGGCUAACUACGUGCCAGCAGCCGCGGUAAUACGUAGGUGGCAAGCGUUGUCCGGAAUUAUUGGGCGUAAAGCGCGCGCAGGCGGUCCUUUAAGUCUGAUGUGAAAGCCCACGGCUCAACCGUGGAGGGUCAUUGGAAACUGGGGGACUUGAGUGCAGAAGAGGAAAGUGGAAUUCCAAGUGUAGCGGUGAAAUGCGUAGAGAUUUGGAGGAACACCAGUGGCGAAGGCGACUUUCUGGUCUGUAACUGACGCUGAGGCGCGAAAGCGUGGGGAGCAAACAGGAUUAGAUACCCUGGUAGUCCACGCCGUAAACGAUGAGUGCUAAGUGUUAGGGGGUUUCCGCCCCUUAGUGCUGCAGCUAACGCAUUAAGCACUCCGCCUGGGGGAGUACGGUCGCAGGACUGAAACUCAAAGGAAUUGACGGGGGCCCGCACAGCGGUGGAGCAUGUGUUUAUUCGUAGCACGCGAGACCUUACCAGUCUUGACAUCCCAUUGACACUGUAGAGAUACAGUUUUCCUUCGGGACACCGUGACAGGUGGUGCAUGGUGUCGUCAGCUCCGUCGUGAAUGUAGGUUAGUCCCACGAGCCCACCUGGUCUUAGUUGCAUCACUAGUUGGCACUCUAAGGAACUGCCGGUACAGCGAGACGUGGAUAGUCAUCUCAUGCUUAUGACUUGACUAGCCGGUACUUCAUUGAA